rnacentral:rRNA from 1 species
UACGAAGGGGGCAAGCGUUGUUCGGAAUCACUGGGCGUAAAGGGUGCGUAGGCGGCUUUAUAAGUCGGGGGUGAAAGCCUGUGGCUCAACCACAGAAUUGCCUUCGAUACUGUAGAGCUUGAGACCGGAAGAGGUAAGUGGAACUGCGAGUGUAGAGGUGAAAUUCGUAGAUAUUCGCAAGAACACCAGUGGCGAAGGCGGCUUACUGGUCCGGUUCUGACGCUGAGGCGCGAAAGCGUGGGGAGCAAACAGG